rnacentral:rRNA from 1 species
GGCGGCAUGCCUUACACAUGCAAGUCGAACGGCAGCACGGGGGCAACCCUGGUGGCGAGUGGCGAACGGGUGAGUAAUACAUCGGAACGUACCUGGAAGUGGGGGAUAACGUAGCGAAAGUUACGCUAAUACCGCAUAUUCUGUGAGCAGGAAAGCAGGGGACCGCAAGGCCUUGCGCUUUUGGAGCGGCCGAUGUCGGAUUAGCUGGUUGGUGGGGUAAAGGCCUACCAAGGCGACGAUCCGUAGCGGGUCUGAGAGGAUGAUCCGCCACACUGGGACUGAGACACGGCCCAGACUCCUACGGGAGGAAGCAGUGGGGAAUUUUGGACAAUGGGCGCAAGCCUGAUCCAGCCAUGCCGCGUGAGUGAAGAAGGCCUCGGGUUGUAAAGCUCUUUCGGUGGGGAAGAAAUCGCAUUCUUUAAUAGAGGGUGUGGAUGACGGUACCCACAUAAGAAGCACCGGCUAACUACGUGCCAGCAGCCGCGGUAAUACGUAGGGUGCGAGCGUUAAUCGGAAUUACUGGGCGUAAAGCGUGCGCAGGCGGUUGUGUAAGUCAGAUGUGAAAUCCCCGGGCUCAACCUGGGAACUGCAUUUGAGACUGCACGGCUAGAGUGUGGCAGAGGGGGGUGGAAUUCCACGUGUAGCAGUGAAAUGCGUAGAGAUGUGGAGGAACACCGAUGGCGAAGGCAGCCCCCUGGGCCAAGACUGACGCUCAUGCACGAAAGCGUGGGGAGUAAAUAGGAUUAGAUAUCCUGGUAGUCCACGCCCUAAACGAUGUCAACUAGAUGUUGGAAGGGUUAAACCUUUUAGUGUCGCAGCUAACGCGUGAAGUUGACCGCCUGGGGAGUACGGCCGCAAGGCUAAAACUCAAAGGAAUUGACGGGGACCCGUAUAAGCGGUGGAUGAUGUGGAUUAAUUCGAUGCAAUGCGAAAAAUUUUACCUACCCUUGACAUGUCAGGAACCCUGGAGAGAUCUGGGGGUGCCCGAAAGGGAGCCUGAACACAGGUGCUGCAUGGCUGUCGUCAGCUCGUGUCGUGAGAUGUUGGGUUAAGUCCCGCAACGAGCGCAACCCUUGUCGUUAAUUGCCAUCAUUGAGUUGGGCACUUUAAUGAGACUGCCGGUGAUAAACCGGAGGAAGGUGGGGAUGACGUCAAGUCCUCAUGGCCCUUAUGGGUAGGGCCUCACACGUCAUACAAUGGUCGGUUCAGAGGGUUGUUAAGCCGCGAGGCGGAGCUAAUCUCAGAAAGCCGAUCGUAGUCCGGAUUGCAGUCUGUAACUUGACUGCAUGAAGUCGGAAUCGCUAGUAAUCGCGGAUCAGUAUGCCGCGGUGAAUACGUUCCCGGGUCUUGUACACACCGCCCGUCACACCAUGGGAGCGGGUUCUGCCAGAAGUAGUUAGCCUAACCGUGAGGAGGGCGAUUACCACGGCAGGGUUCGUGACUGGGGUGAAGUCGUAACAAGGUA